UUCUAAUUCCCAGGAAACACCAUUUGUAACGAAAGGCCUCCUCGGCCUAAAAGGGCUAAGGCAGUUUCCUCAGCCACAAGUGAGUUCCCUACAGCAGCAAGUAAUGAACACUUCCUCUAAAGAACCAGAACUGCUACCAGGAAGUAGCAGAGGGUCUAGGAAGAUCUUAAUCAGUGUGGUUUAUGGGAUUACAAAUUCUAUCAGUUGCGGCGUCUUCGCAGUUGCGGUGUCUUCGAACAUUCUGAAAGGAUAAUGCUCUAACCUUUGCUCCUUCUACUCUCUGCCAAAACAACCAAAAGAAAGUUUCCCCUUGUGUGUUUCACCUUAUGAAAUCCUCUCUCGUUGUGCCAAAAGCCAGACUCGAAAAAUUCUCACCAGCAAUGCAUGGGCAAGGUGUAAAAUCUGUCGGACCUGCUGACUGAGCCUGCUGGAGCC